GAUGAACGCUGGCGGCGUGCCUAAUACAUGCAAGUCGAGCGAACAGACGAGGAGCUUGCUCCUCUGACGAUAGCGGCGGACGGGUGAGUAACACGUGGAUAACCUACCUAUAAGACUGGGAUAACUUCGGGAAACCGGAGCUAAUACCGGAUAAUAUAUUGAACCAUAUGGUUCAAUAGUGAAAGACGCUUUUGCUGUCACCAAUAGAUGGAUCCGCGCCUCAUUAGCUAGUUGUUAAGGUAACGGCUUACCAAGGCAACGAUCCGUAGCCGACCUGAGGGGGUGAUCGGCCCAACUGGAACUGGGACACGGCCCAGACUCCUACGGGGGGCAGCAGUAGGGAAUCUUCCGCAAUGGGCGAAGGCCUGACGGAGCAACGCGGCGUGAGUGAUGAAGGUCUUCGGACCGAAAAACUCUGUUAUAAGGGAAGAACAAAGGUGUAGGUAACUAUGCACGUCUUGACGGUACCUAAUCAGAAAGCCACGGCUAACUACGUG
rnacentral:rRNA from 1 species